rnacentral:rRNA from 1 species
GUUGUGAGGCGUUGAGCUAACUGAUACUAAUGACUCGAGAGGCUUAACCAUACAACCCAGAUGGGUUUUG